UAGGGAAUCUUCGGCAAUGGGGGCAACCCUGACCGAGCAACGCCGCGUGAGUGAAGAAGAUUUUCGGAUCGUAAAGCUCUGUUGUAAGAGAAGAACGUGUGUGAGAGUGGAAAGUUCACACAGUGACGGUAACUUACCAAAAAGGGACGGCUAACUACGUGCCAG
rnacentral:rRNA from 1 species